AACUGUCUGGAGCAGAAGACAAUAGUGUUCGGAUCUCAGCUCCAGAUGAGUGUAAACUGGGACAAAUAAAGGCAUUCUUUACAGCAUGUUUUGAAUCCUGACUCCUGCAGUGAGAAGGCCUCUGAAGCAGUGCUUCCCAAAGUAUAAUCUGCAGUGUGACAAAGACAGUUCUUAUUCGUCAAGACUUGGGUUUUCUCACCCAUAAAACCUGGACAAUGGGACUCAAGAUUAUGUGAGGAUUAAAUGAACCCUGGGCUGUCCUGCCGGGAAUAUUGGUUCCCUUUGCCAUCCCCUCUUGUCUUCUUGAUGGCCAGAAGUUAUAACAAAUUCUUGAAUCCCUGUAAUAUCUUUCUACCCUCUUUUCAACCUUUGUGGGUCUUUGGCUUCAAAUCCCAUUCAAAUCCCACCUCAUCUGUGAGACUUCUCUGCAAUGUCUGCCUAGUCAUGUGAACCUCUCAGGUUUCUUAGAGCAGAGCGGUCCUGGCUGAGCCAAUAUUCGGAACAGGCAUGUGCGGCUCCUACGUGUCCUCAGCCUUUGCUGAUGGCUUGGAGAGCUUGCAUUUUGGCCACAGAGAAUGGGCAGUGUUUACUCCAUAGUGGCAGGAUAUGCUCCCAGGAUGGAUGGCUGCCUGACAAGUGUCCACUCCAGUUCCCAAGCAAAUGGCUGGCAGUCCACUUCCUUCCUCCUAAGCACAGAAGAGGCUGUCUGUCGCUUCCUUCUCUCUCCCAAGGCUGCAGCUCUGAGCCAGUAACUGAACCUGUGCCAGUGGUCUGAACAUGGGACCUUUGGAGAACCUCAGAUAAAUGAUUUACCUCUGUCUGAUUGUGACUCCCCUCAACCACUCCUCUGGGUUUGGCUAUCGUGAUGGAUGGAAAUGAUUCGCUCAAACAGAGUGGUUUGACAUUUGUGCUUAAUAUGAAGAAAGAUCGUUAAGACUGCAAUGUGGCUGCUAAGAGGCUUCAGCUCAUGUUUGUUAAUCUCCUGUAUGGUGAAACACUGGCACCCAGACAGACCCUCAUUCACAUCAGAACAAAGCACUAGUUAUGUGUGUUGAAAUUC